rnacentral:rRNA from 1 species
UGGCGGACGGGUGAGUAACGCGUGGAAAACCUGCCGUAUACUGGGGGAUAACACUUAGAAAUAGGUGCUAAUACCGCAUAAGCGCACAGCUUCGCACGAAGCGGUGUGAAAAACUCUGGUGGUAUACGAUGGUUCCGCGUCUGAUUAGCUAGUUGGUGGGGUAAUGGCCUACCAAGGCAACGAUCAGUAGCCGGCCUGAGAGGGUGAACGGCCACAUUGGGACUGAGACACGGCCCAAACUCCUACGGGAGGCAGCAG